UAGGGAAUCUUCCGCAAUGGACGCAAGUCUGACGGAGCAACGCCGCGUGAGUGAAGAAGGAUUUCGGUUCGUAAAACUCUGUUGUUAGAGAAGAACAGCGCAUAGAGUAACUGUUAUGCGUGUGACGGUAUCUAACCAGAAAGCCACGGCUAACUACGUGCCAGCAGCCGCGGUAAUACGUAGGUGGCAAGCGUUGUCCGGAUUUAUUGGGCGUAAAGCGAGCGCAGGCGGUCAAUUAAGUCUGAUGUGAAAGCCCCCGGCUCAACCGGGGAGGGUUAUUUGAAACUUGUUGACUUGAGUGGAGAAGGGGAAGGUGGAAUUUCCAUGUGAGCGGUGAAAAUGGGUGAUUUAAGGAGGAACACCAGUGGCGAAGGCGACUCUCUGGUCUGUAACUGACGCUGAGGCUCGAAAGCGUGGGUAGCAAACAGG
rnacentral:rRNA from 1 species